rnacentral:tRNA from 1 species
GCAGCCGUGGCCUACUGGUUAGGGCUUUGGGCAUGGAACCGAAGGGUUGGCGGUUCGAUCCCCGACCAGUAGAA